UACAGAGGGGGCAAGCGUUGUUCGGAAUUACUGGGCGUAAAGGGCGCGUAGGCGGCCUUCUAAGUCGAACGUGAAAUCCCCGGGCUCAACCCGGGAACUGCGUUCGAUACUGGAAGGCUUGAAUCCGGGAGAGGGAUGCGGAAUUCCAGGUGUAGCGGUGAAAUGCGUAGAUAUCUGGAGGAACACCGGUGGCGAAGGCGGAAUCCUGGACCGGUAUUGACGCUGAGGCGCGAAAGCCAGGGGAGCAAACGGG
rnacentral:rRNA from 1 species